UACGAAGGGAGCUAGCGUUGUUCGGAAUCACUGGGCGUAAAGCGCACGUAGGCGGAUGUGUCAGUCAGGGGUGAAAUCCCGGAGCUCAACUUCGGAACUGCCCUUGAUACAGCAUGUCUUGAGUCCGAUAGAGGUGGGUGGAAUUCCUAGUGUAGAGGUGAAAUUCGUAGAUAUUAGGAAGAACACCGGUGGCGAAGGCGGCCCACUGGAUCGGUACUGACGCUGAGGUGCGAAAGCGUGGGGAGCAAACAGG
rnacentral:rRNA from 1 species